rnacentral:rRNA from 1 species
GGAGCUUGCUCCCGGCUGUUACCGGCGGACGGGUGACUAAUCCUUGGGUAACCUGCCUGUAAGACUGGGAUAACUCCGGGAAACCGGAGCUAAUACCGGAUAUUUCCUUGAACCGCAUGGUUCAUGGAUGAAAUACGGUUUCGGCUGUCACUUACAGAUGGACCCGCGGCGCAUUAGCUAGUUGGUGGGGUAAUGGCUCACCAAGGCGACGAUGCGUAGCCGACCUGAGAGGGAACCGGUCUCCUGGGACUGAGACACGGCCCAGACUCCAACGGGAGGCAGCAGUAGGGAAUCUUCCGCAAUGGACGAAAGUCUGACGGAGCAACGCCGCGUGAGUGAUGAAGGUUUUCGGAUCGUAAAGCUCUGUUGUUAGGGAAGAACAAGUGCGAGAGUAACUGCUCGCACCUUGACGGUACCUAACCAGAAAGCCACGGCUAACUACGUGCCAGCAGCCGCGGUAAUACGUAGGUGGCAAGCGUUGUCCGGAAUUAUUGGGCGUAAAGGGCUCGCAGGCGGUUUCUUAAGUCUGAUGUGAAAGCCCCCGGCUCAACCGGGGAGGGUCAUUGGAAACUGGGAAACUUGAGUGCAGAAGAGGAGAGUGGAAUUCCACGUGUAGCGGUGAAAUGCGUAGAGAUGUGGAGGAACACCAGUGGCGAAGGCGACUCUCUGGUCUGUAACUGACGCUGAGGAGCGAAAAGCGUGGGGAGCGAACAGGAUUAGAUACCCCUGGUAGUCCACGCCGUAAACGAUGAGUGCUAAGUGUUAGGGGGUUUCCGCCCCUUAGUGCUGCAGCUAACGCAUUAAGCACUCCGCCUGGGGAGUACGGUCGCAAGACUGAAACUCAAAGGAAUUGACGGGGGGCCGCACAAGCGGUGGAGCAUGUGGUUUAAUUCGAAGCAACGCGAAGAACCUUACCAGGUCUUGACAUCCUCUGACAACCCUAGAGAUAGGGCUUUCCUUCGGGGACAGAGUGACAGGUGGUGCAUGG